rnacentral:rRNA from 1 species
AAAUUGAAGAGUUUGAUCAUGGCUCAGAUUGAACGCUGGCGGCAGGCCUAACACAUGCAAGUCGAGCGGCAGCGGGAAGUAGCUUGCUACUUUGCCGGCGAGCGGCGGACGGGUGAGUAAUGUCUGGGAAACUGCCUGAUGGAGGGGGAUAACUACUGGAAACGGUAGCUAAUACCGCAUAAUGUCGCAAGACCAAAGAGGGGGACCUUCGGGCCUCUUGCCAUCAGAUGUGCCCAGAUGGGAUUAGCUAGUAGGUGGGGUAACGGCUCACCUAGGCGACGAUCCCUAGCUGGUCUGAGAGGAUGACCAG